rnacentral:rRNA from 1 species
GUCUGUGGCCACACCACCCGGAACGCACCCGGCCUCCUCUGAUCUGGAAGCUAAGCGGGGUCAGGCUGGCACUUGGAUGGGGAGACUGCCCCCAAAGCCUCAUGUCAUAGGCG